UUACCUGGCCUUGACAUACUAAGAACUUUCCAGAGAUGGAUUGGUGCCUUCGGGAACUUAGAUACAGGUGCUGCAUGGCUGUCGUCAGCUCGUGUCGUGAGAUGUUGGGUUAAGUCCCGCAACGAGCGCAACCCUUUUCCUUAUUUGCCAGCGGGUAAUGCCGGGAACUUUAAGGAUACUGCCAGUGACAAACUGGAGGAAGGCGGGGACGACGUCAAGUCAUCACGGCCCUUACGGCCAGGGCUACACACGUGCUACAAUGGUCGGUACAAAGGGUUGCUACCUCGCGAGAGGAUGCUAAUCUCAAAAAGCCGAUCGUAGUCCGGAUCGCAGUCUGCAACUCGACUGCGUGAAGUCGGAAUCGCUAGUAAUCGCGGAUCAGAAUGCCGCGGUGAAUACGUUCCCGGGCCUUGUACACACCGCCCGUCACACCAUGGGAGUUUGUUGCACCAGAAGUAGGUAGUCUAACCGCAAGGAGGACGCUUACCACGGUGUGGCCGAUGACUGGGGUGAAGUCGUAACAAGGUAGGCGUAGAUGA
rnacentral:rRNA from 1 species